UACGGGGGGAGCAAGCGUUGUUCGGAUUUACUGGGCGUAAAGGGCGCGUAGGCGGUCGUGACAAGUCACUUGUGAAAUCUCCGGGCUUAACUCGGAACGGUCAAGUGAUACUGUCGGACUAGAGUACAGAAGGGGCAACUGGAAUUCUCGGUGUAGCGGUGAAAUGCGUAGAUAUCAGGAAGAACACCCGUGGCGAAGGCGGCUCUCUGGGACGGUACUGACGCUGAGACGCGAAAAGCGUGGGGGAGCGAACAGG
rnacentral:rRNA from 1 species